GCAACUGGAACGCACAGCAGCAGCAGCACUUCCCCUUGCCGGAGCCGCGGCCACGCCACCGCCGUCCUCAUCGUGCCACCGCGAGCUCGUCAUAGCUGCGCUCUCCGACCAGCGUAGCCACGGUGUCGUCAACCCCGUGGACACGCCACGACCGUGACCCAAAGCCCGCCAACUGCAAGGUCGAAACCCCCCCUAAACCCUAGUCGACAUUGACGAAACUUCUCCAUACUAAUUCAUAUCUGUUCAUACAUCAUUUCGUUAUAUGUCGUUUGUUCAUGAUCAUUCAUCUCAUAUCUUGUCUAAUGCAUGACUUAUCUCUAUCUAUUUAUGCCUGUGCCGUGCCUUCGUGCUGGUCUAUUUAUUUAUCUAUCUCUAUCUCUUUUGGUCGCUAUGGAAAUGUGCUACUCCGAGUCGUCGUCUUGUUAGUGUUGCAAUUUGUGCAUUUGUUCUUGUCGUUGUGGACCGUGCCGUCGAGCCGGUUGAGAGAGUGACGUGUUUGAAUGUUGCGAUCGCGAGUUCGUCUCGCCAUGGCCGUAAUGCCGAGCAUGUCCCUUCUCUCUCGUAUUUCCGUUGUUCCUUCUUUUGUUAUUUGCAUGCCUGAGGACCGAGCCUUCGAGCCGGUUAGGGAAAAUGGUAGAGCGUUCGAUCAUUUCGAUCGUGGGUUCGUCCCGCCGUGAUCGCGAUGCCGAGCGUAACUCAUUCCCUGUGUUUAGUUGACUUCGUUGCGCUACGGUCGUUAGCUCCUAUUCCCGUCCCUCGGACGUGGUCAUCGUGGACUCGAUGUCGUUAACGACGCGGUUCUUACCCGCACACUCGAGACCUAAAUGACCUAGUCUAGUGGGAUAAGAAUUAGCGGGCAACCUAUGUGGAACAGUCGGACGCCAACUCGUCAGGUGAAGCUCAUGGUCGCGAGUCGCCUCGCCAUGGCCAUCGAGCUUACCCUAUUUUUCUCGCAUGUUUAUCUUAACUGUCUCGUAUGCUUAUGCCACCUAGACCCAGGCAUCUCCCCUAGUUCCCGCGAAGACAACCGCAUCGACUGGAACUAUAGGAAUGACCUUGUGCCGAAUCAGAAGCACCUAGGUCGUGAAGUGUUAUGAGUUGGAGUAGAGUGUGGGGUCGUAUCUCUUUUAACCAACCGUUUUUCGUUCUAUGGCGUGUUGGUUGGAAGAGUGUGAUUUCGUUCUUCUCUCUUGGUCUCAAUCCCUGUCGAUCUAGUAAGAUGCGGAUUGAGCCCUUUUGCUUGUUUAAUGUUUUGUUUCCAAUUCCGUGAUUCCCGCCGUCGCUAUGGCAAGUGGAUCAAUGGGAAGUGAAACCCGUGUCUUUUCCCGCCUUUUUGGUUCUUUGUGUUUAAACUCUUGUAUGCUUGUACCUAUUCGACCGUAGCAUUUCCUUGGUUCUCGCGGUGACAACCGCACUGCUAAGAACCCUAGGGAUGUCUUAGUGUAUUUAGUGUACCUAGGUCGUGGUACCCUACAAGUCGUUUGGGCACUCGUGAUUCUUGUGUGUCACUCUUUCUGAUUCCCCGUCUCAUACCAUGGCGAGUGGAUGGGAAGAAGUAGACCACUCCCCUUUUCUUCUCUCUUUGUUCCACCCUCUCUUAGCUCUCGCCAACCACAAUGGCGUAAGGAUUGAGAGAGACCGGAACUUCUCAUGCUCGUAGUCUUUUCGGUUCUCGUCGAUCUCUAUGACACUUGGAUCGGAAGACCGUAAGCCAUGGUGUUUGCUUAGAAUGAGUUAGAGUCUAAGCCAUUUAUUAAAGCCGUACAGGUUGACUCAGUUAACCCGGGAAGUACCGGCUAGGCUAAGACUCUGGCUUGUACUUAGUGAACAACCAUUUCCGUUUCUUUUAGCCCAGGGAUCGGACAUCCGCCAAGAGGGCUAAGUCGUUAUCCUUUCAGUGCUCUUUUAGUGCAGUCGUUCUUUAGUGUUUUGUCGCCUCUUUUCGUAGUCCUUCUAUGUCUAGCGGUCUGAUUGUUUCGCCUUGUUUGUCGCUUACGAGGUAGUCGCUUUAGGGUUGGCUUUAAUCGGAUCAGGACCCGUUGGAGGGAGGACAUGCGGAAAGGAGGAUCUCGGAUGAGAACAACUACAAGUACACUGAGGAUCUUGGAAAUGUCAUUCGACAGGUGCCACGUCCCACCCAACCUCGUAGAAUCCUAUUAGACAUGCAAUAUUAUAGAUGCUAGUGCUUUACUUUUAUGCAAAUGAACUGUGAUAGGUUGCAUGGUAGAAGUGCUUGUGAGCCAUUGCCUUGUUGCCACCUAUAACCCUCGCACACCCGCUGUUAGGUUAGAUGCUUGCAUACUACUUGCUACUGCUUCUACUACGCAUUAUAUCUGUGAUGUGAUGCAACGUGGGAGAUUGGAUGUGAAUGGAUAAGGCACGUGGUGCCGAUAAUUGGAUAAUGAGAUGAUAAUGGAUUUGGGGAGAUCUUGGCGUGUGUCUUGGGUGUGUGGUGAGGGUCGAGUCGACCGAGCAGGAUCUACGACGAGUCUUGGGACAAGUCUUGCCGGGGAACGCUACCUGGGCGUUCUCCACGAGAGAUACCUGUGGCGGGUACAUGUGACAGGGAGAGGUCCCGGAGUGGAGUGUUUUCGUGGGACGAAGCACCGGGAUGGGAGGUGCUGUUUAGCACGGGGUAGCCGGAUGUCCCGACGAGCGGUGCAUCGGUUGGCCCCUUGUGAAGAUGUCCUGUUUGGUCACCCUAAGGACUGAUAUGUUGUGUGGACCGGGUCUUAUGAAGCCUUGCACCCCACUCGCUCUUAUGGGGAGGAGACGGAUGUACGACCAGCUAGGGCGGUGCCACUACUACUAGGUUGUUAGCGGAUAGUGUAGGGAGGUACGGGCAUGAGGACCCACACCCUCCUAAGACAGCGUAGUGACCUUUGGGGCCCGGUACUACGCCUCACAGUCUCAGCGUACCGGUGGUACUCCGGUAUGGUCCCAGUUCUGAGUGGUAGGGUGGCAUCGUGUUUAGUUGGAAGGCAGCCCGGAAUCAGCCUAGACGAGGGCCUUCGUCGAUGAUGGUGAUCUUUUGGUUAGUGCAAACCUCUGCAGAGUUUUGGUUGAUCGAUCGAUACAUACGCCGAUUCGUCGGCUAUGGACCUUUCCUAAGUACAGCUUCACUUGACUAGAGAGAGGAGUCCUUUCUACCUUCCCCUGGGUUUGUGUUGGAUCCGGCGUUGGCCGUUGAGGCAAGGCACGAGCGGGAGUCGUACUUGCCGUCUAGAGAGUGGGAGUGUGGUGAGAUGUGUGUGAUGGGAUGGAUGGAUGAAUGGAUGGACGUGUGGUUGAGAUGGAUUAAAACUUGAAGAAUUACUAUUAUUAUAAAAUAUUGAUGAACUUGCAUAGGAAAGACUACAGCCAUAUAUAUAGGCCUCUUGAUCUACCCUUUGCAUUCCACUUACCACAAAGCUACGCAAAAGCAUAGGGUGGGAGCCAGUGGCCAGUACAAAUCGUACUGAAAAUUGUUUAGCAGGUUUUGAACGUGGUCCUUGAUGAUGACUACGGAGAAUAGAAGGAUUAGGUGGUCUCGUUCCUGUGCUCAAGUUUGGUUCAGAGAUGAAGGCUACGCCCGCUGAUAAACUACGUCGACUCUGAUGAUUGCCCGUGAAGGAGGAGCCUUCACCGCUGAUGCGCUACAUCGACUCUGAUAAAGACUCGCAUGUGUUUCCGCUAGAAAAACAAUGUAAUAGGCUUGUUGACCAUGAGUUGUAAAGUAAAUGUGUUGUAAUCUUGUUUUUCACGAUGUAUGACUAUGAUAACAGCUGAUAUAUGAUAAUGUGAUGGCUCAAUCUCUGAAUUGUCACAUUAUAAUUCGAAUCUGUGGAUUUUUCCCCUUUGGAAAAAUCUAGGUCGUUUCAGUUGGUAUCAGAGCCAUACUUGACCCUAGGACGAGACCUUUAGUACCAAACACUAGUUUAGAAGCCAAAUAUUCAAUCUUUUGUAGAGUUAUAGAUGCUAACACUUGUUUUCCCCCUCCGCCUUGAAUUCUGCUGCUAACUGACCUCCCUAUUUCAUAAAGUUGACCGUUGGAAUCUUUCCCCAUUACUGCCCACGCUAGAUCGGUAGUCGUGUGAGACUUUGAAGGUCUGUGAGUCGCCUCAAGUCAACACUUUGCAUUAGGAGUUGUAAUGUUGUUUGAGUGCUUGGAUCUUAUGUUCUUGCGCUUCUUCCGCUUCUUGUUGUUUGAGUGUAUGCCAUAGAACUGUUUUAUGCGAGAAAGACUCUGGGUCCCAUCCAAUCUAGCUGGCUAAACCUAAGACCGUCUUGAGACUAGAUAAGUGACCCUGGCUAACAGAGUUGAAAAAGGGUGUAAAGCUGAUGCAUCAUGUCUUGCCCAUCUAUUUCAAAACUGUUUUUGGCUUCCAACUAAACUUGUCUUCAAAUUGCCCCCUUUGGUUGAAAAAUUUUAUCUCCUUUUGGUUAAAAUAUCCCCUCUUUAACAAAAGCAUCUAUAUUUCAAAUGGAAAAGUGUUUCAAAACUCUCUCAAUAUCUUCCCUUUCACAAAUAAAGCAAUUUUAACUCCUUUCUCAACUCAAUUUUAUUCAAACUCUAUUUAUGAAAUGAUUCAAAAAUAAGUUAUCUUUCAAAAGGUGUUACCAACCCUCUUCUGAAAAAUCAAAAGUUUUGCCUUCAACCAACAAAGUGGCUUUCAAAACCAAAGAACUUUGGCUUAGUUUUGUUUUAAAGACCUUUGAUUUCAUCUUCAGAGCCAAAUUCCUUUCAAAAGUCAACCUUGUCUUAAAAUAAAAAGGAAUUGCCAGUGAUUUAUUAAGCAAAAACCAUUGCGAAAAGAUUUUUGUUGUGGCCUUUCAAAAAAAAUAAAUUAUUACAAGUUUUAAAAGAAAAUGCUCUUGUUGUUAAAACGUGAUCUUUCAAAAUGAGAAAUGAUUUCUAGUCAUUUUCAAAACUAGUUCAUUUAAUUCAAAUAAAUAAUAAUAAAAAAAAUAAAUAAUUUGGUUUUCAGAACUUGCAUUGAUUUCAACCCUCUUCAAAAGCUCUCUUCAUUUUGAAGUCUCAAAAAAAAAACUUGACUUUGUAAAAGCGCUUUCACUCUAUUUUUGAAACCUAUUUCCCAAAACUCCCUUCUUUCAAAAGUCUUUUUCAAAGGGUGAUGCGUGAAAAACAGCUGGUGAAAGCCAACAACCCUAGCUAUGUUUAAGCCUGCCAUGCACCCCUUGAGAGCCAGAUGUUCAUAAACCCGAUGCGAUUCUUGGAUACCCAUCGCCUCGGUGUAAAAAUUUGGAUACCCAACACCCGCGACUGAGCCUUGGAUACACCCGGAACAUGACUCACUCCCACUUUGGAAAAGGCUUGUGGAGCGGUCAUACUGAAAGUGAAACAACUCAGAAGUAAGAAAAACUUCGGGAAUAGCACCCUUGCUUCUUCAUCGACCGGGCAACGCCUAAAUCUCGGGGACGAGAUUCCUGUAAGGUGGGUGGACUGUAACAUCCCAGAUUUUCAUGAAAACCAAAAAUACGAGCUUUUUAAAAUUUUUCUUGUAAUCGUGUGAAGCAUAUAGUUUUCAGGUCUAACUCGAUCCUAACCCGCUAACAAAUCGUGGCAUACAUGUAGAUUUGCUUGUAGGCGAGUGCUUUUGUUCGCGAGUUGAUUUGAAGUUGAACCUUGUUUAGGGUUUUGAGUUUCUUUUGGAGUGCACAAUCUGUAGCAAAGUCUUCCCGAAUCUUCGUUGAGCCUAUCUCAAAGGCGAAGCGAAUCCCUUUCAACUCCUUGGGUAUCUUUUCGAGCUCUUCUUGAAUCCUUUUUCGACAACUUCUCCAGUCUCGUUCAAACUUCUCUCAAAAUUUCCUUCAAACCCCCUUGCUUUCCUUUCUAUUCCUCUAAGUCAUGAAUGUGGAACACAAUUUUUCUUCUCUUGGACCAGCACCUCUCUCCUAUCUCCUUCCUCUGCUAGCCCAGCAGUCACCCGCGGCCCAGCUUGCCAGCCCUGCGCACGGCCUAGAACCCUUUCCCCCUCCACUGCGCAGCGCGAGGCCCAGCUAGCCUACUCCCCAUCCCACUCGGCCCGCGACCCGGCCCAACCGGCACCAUCCCCCUUCCAACGACGCGGCCCAGCUAGCCUGCUCCCCUCCCCUGCCUCCUCCCCUCGGCCCGCCUCGCGCUCCCUCCCCACCGGCCCAGCACCGCGCCCCUCCCCUGCCCUAAGCCGCACACGCCCCAGCCCCCUGGAGAGCCGCCACCGCCAGCCAGGGCACAGACGCCUGAUGGCAAGCAGAGCCUGCGCCCACGCCUGCCCGUGCCCCUCCUGGAUUCACGCCACACAGCCCGCCCACGGCACAGACGCCGAGGAUGGACGGCCAUCCCCCGAACCCUAGCUCGUCGCGCCUAUAAAGAGCCCAGCCGCCGCCACGCCCUCGAGCUCUUCCCCAUGGCGCCGCCACCCUACUCUGCUCCACCUCGGCGAGCCAGAACGCCACGCCGAGCCCCGUCCCCGGCAUCCACCGCCGAGCCGCACCGCGACCCCGACACCGUGCUCGUGCCCCAUCGCCCCCGCGUCGUGUCUCGGCUCCGAGCACCGUGACGUCGCCGACCUCACCACGUACGCGCUCGACCGCGGCCAGGAACGCCUCGCCGUGGCCGCGACCUCGCCCCCGUGCCCCUUCCUCUGCGCCCGAGCCUCUGCUCCACGAGCUGCCCUCAGCCACGACACCGGAGCUGCUCCGUUGAGUCGAGGCCGAGCGCUGCCUUCUUCGUCCUCGUCCUCGCCCCGGAGCUUCGCCGCGCCGAGGCCCCGGCGUCCUCCGCGACCGCGACGUCGCGCGGACUCGCAACCAUGGACGACCGCGCGCUCGCGUCCUCGACCUCGCCGCGCCCAAGACGCCGAGCCGGAUCAUCGACCUUCGACGGCAGCCACGCCGAGCUGCAUGCGGCGUUCACGGCGCCUGAGCGUCUCGUCCUCGGCACCACCCCGCGCACCCGCCGCCGUCGCCAGGAGAGCACGCACCGCGCCCCGGCACCCGCACCGCGCCCUCGCCGAGCAGCAGCGGAGCCGCGGCCAUGGCCUCGCCCUCGGAGCCCUCGCCCCGAGCACCUCCUCGCGCUGGAGCCUCGACCACGCGCGUCGCGUCCUCGACCUCGCCGAAGCCGCGACGUCGAUCUUCAACGUCACCUUGUCGAGCUCUGCUCCACUGCUGCUGGGUAAGCCACCGAUGGCUAAGCUCUACCCCUUUUCCACUUUAUCGUUAAUAUUGCCACUGUCCUUGCUGAGAUCGGCCUCCGUGCCGUGUUUUACUGCGGUUACAGGGAAGCAGUGGCCUUGCCGUGCUUUUGCCGAGGGUGUGCCGCCUUCUCGGCCGGCCUUUGUGCCGAGGUUUCCCAUCCCUGUAGAGAAGCCGCAACUGGAACGCACAGCAGCAGCACUUCCCCUUGCCGGAGCCGCGGCCACGCCACCGCCGUCCUCAUCGUGCCACCGUGAGCUCGUCAUAGCUGCGCUCUCCGACCAGCGUAGCCACGGUGUCGUCAACCCCGUGGACACGCCACGACCGUGACCCAAAGCCCGCCAACUGCAAGGUCGAAACCCCCCCUAAACCCUAGUCGACAUUGACGAAACUUCUCCAUACUAAUUCAUAUCUGUUCAUACAUCAUUUCGUUAUAUGUCGUUUGUUCAUGAUCAUUCAUCUCAUAUCUUGUCUAAUGCAUGACUUAUCUCUAUCUAUUUAUGCCUGUGCCGUGCCUUCGUG
rnacentral:lncRNA from 1 species